rnacentral:rRNA from 1 species
UGCGUACGGCUCAUUACACCAGCCUUAAUUUACUUGACCUUGACAACCUACUUGGAUAACUGUGGUAAUUCUAGAGCUAAUACAUGCACCAAAGCUCCGAUCCUCGCGGAGAGGAGCGCAUUUGUUCGCCACAAAACCAAGCGCCCAUCUGGGCGUCCAGUGCUGAACCAGAACAACUCAGCUGAUCGCACGGUCUUGUACCGGCGACGUGUCUUUCAAGUGUCUGCCUUAUCAACUUUCGAUGGUAGUGUACCUGACUACCAUGGUUGUGACGGGUAACGGAGGAUAAGGGUUCGACUCCGGAGAAGGGGCCUGAGAAAUGGCCACUACGUCUAAGGAUGGCAGCAGGCGCGCAAAUUACCCACUCUCAACGCGAGGAGGUAGUGACGAGAAAUAACGAGACCGUUCUCAUACGAGGCCGGUUAUUGGAAUGGGUACAAUUUAAA